rnacentral:misc_RNA from 1 species
CUCUCUCUCUCAGAGUAUACGUGUUUCCAGCAGUGGCUAUUGCCUGUUGGGAUCUUGUUGUUUCUUGCUUUAUAGAAAGAUGGCUAGAAUCCCCAUCUUCUUGAUGGCGCUUGUUCUCUUCUGGGGAGCCAUAGCAGAAGCAGAAUACGUGAAAUAUAAAGAUCCAAAACAACCCCUAAAUGUUCGAAUAGAGGACUUGAUGAAAAGGAUGACACUAGAGGAAAAAAUUGGCCAGAUGACACAGAUUGACCGCAGUGUUGCAUCCGCUGAAGUUAUGAAGAAGUACUUCAUUGGAAGUGUAUUGAGUGGAGGAGGGAGUGUUCCAUCCAAACAGGCUUCUGCGGAAACUUGGAUUAAAAUGGUGAAUGAUUUUCAGAAUGGUUCUUUAUCAACCCGACUUGGAAUUCCUAUGAUUUAUGGGAUUGAUGCUGUUCAUGGCCACAACAAUGUCUACAAGGCAACAAUUUUUCCUCACAAUAUUGGGCUCGGAGCCACCAGGGACCCUGAACUUGUUAAGAGGAUUGGGGCUGCAACAGCACUUGAAGUUAGAGCUACCGGCAUUCCAUAUGUUUUUGCACCUUGUAUCGCGGUUUGUAGAGAUCCAAGAUGGGGUCGAUGCUACGAAAGCUACAGUGAAGAUCCUAAGAUUGUCCAAGCAAUGACUGAGAUAGUACCCGGAUUACAAGGAGAUAUCCCAGCUGGCUCUCUGAAGGGUGUUCCUUUCGUUUCUGGGAAAACAAAAGUUGCAGCUUGCGCCAAGCACUAUGUUGGUGAUGGAGGAACAACAGAUGGAAUAAAUGAGAAUAAUACAGUGAUAAGCAGACAUGGUUUGCUUAGCAUCCACAUGCCUGGUUACUACAACUCAAUCAUCAAAGGGGUGUCAACUGUCAUGGUCUCCUACUCCAGCUGGAAUGGAGUUAAAAUGCAUGCUAACCGUGACUUGGUCACUGGCUUUCUUAAAAACACACUUCGCUUCAGGGGUUUCGUUAUCUCAGAUUGGCAGGGUAUUGACAGGAUCACCUCUCCACCCCAUGCUAACUACUCAUUCUCCAUUCAAGCUGGAAUCACUGCUGGAAUUGACAUGAUCAUGGUUCCAUACAACUACACAGAAUUUAUAGAUGGUCUAACAUACCUGGUGAAGAAUAACUUCAUUCCAAUGAGCCGAAUUGAUGAUGCAGUAAAGAGAAUUUUGCGAGUCAAGUUCGUGAUGAAUCUAUUUGAGAACCCAUAUGCAGAUGAUAGUCUGGUGAACCAGCUUGGAAGUCAGGAACAUAGAGAACUGGCUAGGGAAGCUGUGAGGAAAUCACUUGUGCUGCUAAAGAAUGGUGAAUCUGCUGAUAUUCCAUUGUUACCCCUUCCCAAAAAUGCUUCAAAAAUACUAGUCGCUGGCAGUCAUGCAGACAAUCUUGGUUAUCAGUGUGGUGGAUGGACAAUUGAGUGGCAAGGACUCAGUGGCAACAAUCUCACAAUUGGUACUACAAUCCUGACAGCGAUAAAAAAUACUGUUGAUCCAAGCACAGAAGUUGUCCAUAAGGAAAACCCUGAUUCACAAUUUGUUAAGUCUGGAGAGUUCUCCUAUGCUAUAGUUGUAGUAGGAGAACCUCCAUAUGCAGAAACAAAUGGUGACAGCAUGAACCUGACAAUUGCUGAGCCUGGACCGAGCACCAUCCAGAAUGUCUGUGGAACUGUGAAAUGUGUUGUUAUUAUUGUCUCAGGGCGUCCUUUGGUAAUCCAACCAUAUAUGAAUUCGAUGGAUGCUCUUGUUGCUGCUUGGCUUCCUGGAACUGAAGGCCAGGGUAUUGCUGAUGUUGUAUUUGGUGAUUAUGGUUUCACUGGCAGGCUUUCCCGUACAUGGUUCAAGACUGUUGAUCAGCUGCCUAUGAAUGUUGGAGAUCGAUACUACGACCCCCUCUUCCCAUUUGGAUUUGGUCUCACUACCAAACCCAUCAAGGCUUAGAAAUGCCCAUUUUGUGAAAUUCAGUUGAAAUUGGCUUUAAAUAGAUAUUGAAACCCUAAUAUUUUAUAAUUUCAUUCAAUUUUGUAAUUCAGUUUGAUUCAUAGUUAUUCGGUUCUUCACCUAGUAAUCUGAAUGAAGCUUAUGCACAAUUUCAGCCUAAUUCAUAAGUAAAGCUAACAAAUUCAUCACACUUGCAUUACCCAGCAAGCAAUCUUGU